rnacentral:rRNA from 1 species
AGCAGUAGCCGCGGGAAAACGAACCGUGCAAACGUUACUCGGAAUCACUGGGCUUAAAGCGCACGUAGGCGGCGACAUAAGUUAGAGGUGAAAUCCCAUCGGCUCAACCGUGGAACUGCCUCUAAUACUGUGUUGCUUGAGGGAGAACGGGGCAUUCGGAACUUCCGGUGGAGCGGUGAAAUGUGUUGAUAUCGGAAGGAACGCCGGUGGCGAAAGCGGAAUGCUGGGUCUCUUCUGACGCUGAGGUGCGAAAGCUAGGGUAGCGAACGGGAUUAGAUACCCCCGUAGUCCCUGUCUCUUAUA